rnacentral:rRNA from 1 species
GACGAACGCUGGCGGCGUGCUUAACACAUGCAAGUCGAACGGAAAGGCCCCUUUGGGGGUACUCGAGUGGCGAACGGGUGAGUAACACGUGAGUAACCUGCCCUUGACUUCGGGAUAACUUCAGGAAACUGGGGCUAAUACCGGAUAGGAAUCCUUGCUGCAUGGUGGGGGUUGGAAAGCUUCGGCGGUUUUGGAUGGACUCGCGGCUUAUCAGCUUGUUGGUGGGGUAGUGGCUUACCAAGGCUUUGACGGGUAGCCGGCCUGAGUGGGCGACCGGCCACAUUGGGACUGAGAUACGGCCCAGACUCCUACGGGAGGCAGCAGUGGGGAAGAUUGAACAAGGGGCGGAAGCCUGAUGCAGCAACGCCGCGUGCGGGAGGACGGCCUUCGGGUUGUAAACCGCUUUCAGCAGGGGCGAAGCUUGUGGUGACGGUACCUGCAGAAGAAGCACCGGCUAACUACGUG